CCAUUACAAUAACAUGGGAGGUUAACUUUUUUCGGGGGGUAUGAUAUUUGUGCGUCUAACUUUCUCACUCAUCAUUAUUCACGAUUCAUUCAAGUCAUGGUAGCAUCCAAAUGAUUGUAGACAUGUUUAGAAGCAAAUUCUAUUCUUCUUCACAGUAAAAGUGACCGCAAAAUGACACAAUUCAAUAUUUACCAUUCAUUUAUUUGGAUUUACCAUUCAUACCCUCAAAUGAAUACUGUCAGUCUGCACUUUAACCUCAUAGUCAUUAUAUCCUUUCAAAUCCAAAGUGCUGGAGUACAGAACCAAAACAACACAAAAUGUGUCACUGUCCCAAUACUUUUGGAGCUCACUGUAUAUGCCUCGUUGUCAGUCAGUGAAAAAGUUUAAUGAGCCAGAGGCCUUUAUUUCCAGGCUGGCAGGCGAGGGAAGGGACACUUUCCAGACACAAUAGUGAAUAUGUCCAGUACUAAUUCCAGUAGGUAGACCUGAGUUCUGCUCCCACCAUUGGAGUGUGAGGCCAGCAGAAUAAGGUGUUGGUGGAUAAGGUGUUAGAGGAGACGAGAUCUCGGGCCCGGGGGGAGAUGUGUGACCUUCACACAAAGGUUCAUAUAAAGGGCAGAACAAUAUCAUAUGUUGAAAAUAAGAGCUUUUGUGCAUGCUCUUUCGAUCAUCUCCAUUUUCUGUCCACUUACCUGGCGUGGACUGCAUGGGUGAAGAGUCUGUCCAUGUGAUUCUAUGGAGGGGGACGAGGGACACAUACCUUUGGCUGCUGGUCAUGAUGGGCACCCUCCAUCCCUUGAUCUGGCUGAGCUCUGUGUCAGACACCUCGAUCUGGAGGGGCAGCCGUGGGAUCCACACGUUCAUCUCCAGUUGGGCACUCAGGAUAUUGGGGUCAUGAUAAGGACCUGAGCCCUAGCACCAUGCCCCAGGACUACCUGACAUGAUGACUCCUUGCUGUCCCCAGUCCACCUGGCCGUGCUGCUGCUCCAGUUUCAACUGUUCUGCCUUAUUAUUAUUCGACCAUGCUGGUCAUUUAUGAACAUUUGAACAUCUUGGCCAUGUUCUGUUAUAAUCUCCACCCGGCACAGCCAGAAGAGGACUGGCCACCCCACAUAGCCUGGUUCCUCUCUAGGUUUCUUCCUAGGUUUUGGCCUUUCUAGGGAGUUUUUCCUAGCCACCGUGCUUCUACACCUGCAUUGCUUGCUGUUUGGGGUUUUAGGCUGGGUUUCUGUACAGCACUUUGAGAUAUCAGCUGAUGUACGAAGGGCUAUAUAAAUAAAUUUGAUUUGAUUUGAUUUGA